UACGUAGGGUGCGAGCGUUGUCCGGAAUUAUUGGGCGUAAAGGGCUCGUAGGCGGUUUGUCGCGUCGGGAGUGAAAACACCGGGCUUAACUCGGUGCUUGCUUUCGAUACGGGCAGACUAGAGGUAUGCAGGGGAGAACGGAAUUCCUGGUGUAGCGGUGAAAUGCGCAGAUAUCAGGAGGAACACCGGUGGCGAAGGCGGGUCUCUGGGCAGUAACUGACGCUGAGAAGCGAAAGCAUGGGGAGCGAACAGG
rnacentral:rRNA from 1 species